UUGGAGGGCAAGUCUGGUGCCAGCAGCCGCGGUAAUUCCAGCUCCAAUAGCGUAUAUUAAAGUUGUUGCAGUUAAAAAGCUCGUAGUUGAACCUUGGCUCUGGCUGGCCGGUCCGCCUCACCGCGAGUACUGGUCCGGCUGGUGCUUUCCUUCUGGGGAACCUCAUGGCCUUCACUGGCUGUGGGGGGAACCAGGACUUUUACUGUGAAAAAAUUAGAGUGUUCAAAGCAGGCCUUUGCUCGAAUACAUUAGCAUGGAAUAAUAGAAUAGGACGUGCGGUUCUAUUUUGUUGGUUUCUAGGACCGCCGUAAUGAUUAAUAGGGAUAGUCGGGGGCGUCAGUAUUCAGCUGUCAGAGGUGAAAUUCUUGGAUUUGCUGAAGACUAACUACUGCGAAAGCAUUCGCCAAGGAUGUUUUCAUUAAUCAGGGAACGAAAGUUAGGGGAUCGAAGACGAUCAGAUACCGUCGUAGUCUUAACCAUAAACUAUGCCGACUAGGGAUCGGACGGGAUUCUAUUAUGACCCGUUCGGCACCUUACGGGAAAC
rnacentral:rRNA from 1 species